AUACGUAGGUGACAAGCGUUAUCCGGAUUUACUGGGCGUAAAGGGCGUGUAGGCGGUCUUGCAAGUCAGAAGUGAAAUUCCUGAGCUCAACUCGGGCGCUGCUUCUGAAACUGCAGGACUUGAGUGCUGGAGGGGAUAGCGGAAUUCCUAGUGGAGCGGUAAAAUGCGCAGAUAUUAGGAAGAAGACCGGGGGCGAAGGCGGCUUUCUGGACAGUAACAGACGCUGAGGCGCGAAAGCGUGGGGAGAAAACAGAAUUAGAUACCCUGGUAGGCCACGCCGUAAACGAUGAAUACUAGGUGUAGGGGGUAUCGACUCCCUCUGUGCCGCAGUUAACACAAUAAGUAUUCCGCCUGGGGAGUACGGCCGCAAGGUUGAAACUCAAAUGAAUUGACGGGG
rnacentral:rRNA from 1 species